rnacentral:misc_RNA from 1 species
AAAGAACAAGGCGAGGAUCAUGUAGUGCCAUUAUGAAAAUGUAAGCGUGAAGCUCUUUGGUAUAUAUCUGAUUACCAUAAAUGAAGAUUUGAAAAUUAAGUUUUCUCUUUGAAUGCCACUACAUUUUUUGAUCUCAUUUUUCUAACCAAAACCUAUUAAACCCAUUCUUCACUUCUCAAUUCACGACUUCGAUUUCAAAGAUUAUGGAACUG